CGUUGUACAACCGUGGGAGGUCACAGAGUCACAGAAUAGGGCGGGAUAAUCGAUUGGGAAGCGAAAUCGAACCGUUAACCGUUUGAAACCAUCAGUGUUUGAAACUCGCUGGUUCGAAACUUUAUAAUUUGCUUGACCAUUUUUAUACAGCUUGACUGUAAGCGCGAAGUCUGUCACUGGCAACUGGCUUUAGCUAAACAUGGCAAGAACUCCUUUUAGUUUGUUAGAAGAGCCUGAAACUCGCAGGCCUUCGAAAUUACGCUUGGCUGUCAUCGUGUUGUUUGUGGCGCUGCUUGUUCUGACUGUGGUUUUCAUUUCGCUGUAUGCUGUUGAGAGAAAUAAAUCCAGUAACGAGGGAAGCGCGUCCACGAAACAGCAGGCGAAUGACACAAAUCCUUCCACAAGUAUGUCGCCAAACACGACAACUAGCAAGUCGACACAUGGUCCAUCACCAACUCCAUCAACUAAGACCUGUAGUUCUCCAGCUUGUGUCAUUAGUGCCGCAG